CCAAAGGCUCUUUUCAGAGCCACGCCAAAAACAAAACAAAACAAAA
rfam:Mus musculus chromosome 4, GRC primary reference assembly.